GAUUCUACAUGGAUGAUAUGUUCUCCCUUUGUGGGUUGUUUCCCGACGGAGUUAUUUGGAUUUGCUUUCGUAGCAGUUUUCGCCUGAGCAGUGAACUCUUGUUUUCCAGUUGAUACUGAGAAUCCCCCUGCAAAUGUUUUGGGAUUUCUCCCUUUCCCCAACAGAUUUGUCUUUGUGGCUGUUUAUGCCUGUUGUGACCUUUUGUUACCCAGUUGGGUUGAUUGUUGAUCCAUCACUCAGAGAUUUUGUGACCUCGUGAUAUCUCGG
rnacentral:lncRNA from 1 species